UCCGAUUUGUCACCGGCAGUCUCCCAUGAGUCCCCGGCAUGAUCCGCUGGCAACUAGGAACAGGGGUUGCGCUCGUUGCGCCACUUAAGGCAACACCUCACGGCACGAGCUGACGACAGCCAUGCACCACCUGUGAAGGUCCGGCCGAACCGACCCCGUGUUUCCACGGGUGCGACCUACAUGUCAAGCCCAGGUAAGGUUCUUCGCGUUGCGUCGAAUUAAGCCACAUGCUCCGCCGCUUGUGCGGGUCCCCGUCAAUUCCUUUGAGUUUUAGCCUUGCGGCCGUACUCCCCAGGCGGGGUGCUUAAUGCGUUUGCGACGGCACGGAAGGGGUUGAUGCCUCCCACACCUAGCACCCAACGUUUACGGCUGGGACUAC
rnacentral:misc_RNA from 1 species